rnacentral:rRNA from 1 species
GAUGAACGCUGGCGGCGUGCCUAAUACAUGCAAGUCGAGCGAAGCGGGGACGGGCGAGUAACACGUGGAUAACCUCCUAUAAGAUUGGGAUAACUUCGGGAAACCGGAGCUAAACCGGAUACUUAUUGAUGGAUCCUCGCUGCAUUAGCUAGUUGGUAAGGUAACGGCUUACCAAGGCAACGAUGCAUAGCCGACCUGAGAGGUGAGUCAGCCCAACUGGAGCUGAGACGCGGUCCGGACCCCAACGGGAGGCAGCGUUAGAGAAUGUUCCGCAAUGGGCGGAAGCCUAGCGGGGCACCGCCGAGUGAUUGAAGAAGGUAUUCGGAUCGUAAAACUCUAUUAUUAGGAGAGCGGUAUCUAAUCAGAAAGCCACGGCUAACUACGUGCCAGCAGCCGCGGUAAUAC